UCUCUGCUCCCCAGCAUCUGUUUGUUGCAUCUGGGGAGAAAGAUAAAUUCUCUUUUUUUAUGCCACUGAACCAAAUUUAAGAGACAGACAAACAAACAGGUCUCAGUAGAAGAGGACAGAAUCGCAUCCACAGCCCAGCUGUCCUCUUUCCCAGGCCCUGUGUGGGGUGCCUUGUAGUCCAUUGAAUUUGCCAGCCCAUCAGGGAUGAGGGUGCCAGAGACUGGCUGAUCGGGCUUAGGGAGGUGCUCCCCCCAGAGUGGGGACCUGGGGGCUCGUGGCCAUGAGCACAAGCUUUGAAGAGGCUGCUUUGUAAACUUUGUAAAAAAUUCACAUCAUUUACAUUUCUCAGACUUAAAGAAUUGUGCCUGGUCACCCAGAGACAUGAUUAUACAUCACCAAACUUCAUUAUAAUAAUGGCCCUGGUACUCCAACUUCUUGAAAGCCUCAGCUGUUCGAUUCAGCCUCUUCAGCUCCAUAACUGUUUAUAAGAUUAAUAGACUCUGAUGCAUAAUUGACUCUCCCACCAGGAGGAAAAAAAAGAGAGACAGUCUAAUCGUAGCCCUGAAAAAAUAACAUUCCCAUAAAGAGAUGGUGUCUGUCCACAUUGACAGGGUCAGGGAUAGAGGAGUGUGGCUAGCACCACCAAGUCAGGAGAGAAGGGGAGACGGAUGAGGAGUCAGCCCCAGGGAAGGGAGUCUCAGAACGUCGAUGGGACAUGUCUCAUCAUUUAGAGGCUUCAGUGGACACCCUGAAAAAUUGGCUUUAUUGCAGAACUGGAUGGGAUUCAAUUCUACAGCAGGGAGCAAGGGAGCAAUAGAAAGGGAAUCCACAGAGCAGCAGGAUGGGGUGAGGGCUUGACAUCUGGUGACAGGGAGCUUAGAGAGAGAACGAGUGCCCUGGCCCCCCUUUCCCUUGCUGAGGUUAUGGGUCACAGGGUGUCACACCAGGUCCUGUAGGAGACCAGACACAUGCUAGGAACGAUGGCAGGGCAGACCUUUCUCAAGGCAGAGGAGCAAGGGCAUCACCUCGCAGGCUGGAGGCAAUGGAGGCCUUGAGAGAGUGCGUGGCGGGGAUGCCACUGCCACACAGGGGUAGGGCAGUAGCCAGGGUUCAGAGGCUGGGUGGGCUCCGGAAGUCUUGGAGAGGGGACAGAGCUGGACCGAGGCACUCGGUGGGCCUGAUGACUCGAAUAAAGGAGUGAGUCUAACCAAAAGGUGGAAACGAGAAGUCGAGUGUUCGAUGCUAGCUUGUCUUUCUCUUGAUCUCCUAUACCUGCCCCUCUUCUCAGGGCUUAUUUUACUCUUCCAGAAAAAGACCAGGCAUCUUGCAAUCUUCCUGAGCAGAGCAAGAUGAGAGAAGAUUGACAUGGAGACAGGGUCUUAUUUUCUACUCUGUAUAGUGAGAGAUCCUCACCUAAAAGACCUCACCCUGUUGUUAGAGGGAAGAGAAAUGUGGGUUAAUCUUUCAUUGUCAUCAGAUUUGUGCUUCUUCCUCUUUACUUAAGUAACUGCUUUAGCUGGACCUCCGCAGCAUCUGCUGCUGCUUCUCCAGCUCCUGGAAAACCCCAAGGGGGUUGCAAAGAUAAGUCUUAACUCUGCCUCUGUUUUCCUUUCAGCUGACCACCAAAUGACCCCAGAGUGAAGAAGGCACAUCAGGCUCCUAUUAAUGUGGCCACAGAUUCACACAUUUGCUUGAUGAAAGCCUAGUGCAAAGGAAUAGAGUCUUAUUGUGGACUUGGAAACCUCCUAGUUAUUUAGAUGUGAACUCACGCUUUUGCUCAUCUCUGGGAAACACAGCACAUUUUUUUAAAGUACAUCUUGCAUCAUGGAUUGAAAGGCUAAGACCUUACCAUUAGAUCUAGCAUGAAGCCCUCACCCAUGCCGUGUAACUCUACAUUUACUCCUUCCUUCCAUCUUCAGGGGAAAAGAAGCAGGGGCUGAUAAAACAAGCAGAGAAGGCCCAGGAGGAUGGACAGGUUAUCUCUGCUUUUCUUCAAGAAGAGAAAUUUCUGAAUUCCCUAUCAUAUCUUCACUUUGAUCAAGGGGAAAGGAAGAAAAGAAAACUCUUAAGUGCCUAAAAUUGGUCCAAAAAUAAAGAAUUCUUCUCAUUUUUCCAUUUAAUGAUUUUGUUCCUGAAACCUAUGGGUGAUUCU
rnacentral:lncRNA from 1 species